GUCUCCGCCAUGGGCCUGCGCCGCCUCGGGACCGGGGUCAGGGUGCCACGGCUUACCAAUGGAAGAUUAGGCCAGAUGGCUCCUGAGAGUGCUUUGGGAGAUUCUCUGUUCCUUCUGGGAAUGGCAGGGAUAGGAGGGGGUCCCAGAAGUUUGAACGCUUUGGCAUCCAAGAAAUCACACUCCAAAUACUGCUCUUCUGGCCUCCCCUGGGCUGCCUUCUCCAACCGUGUUCCUGGGAACCGAAGGGCAGAAAUUGCCCUCUUGGGCUUAUAAACAAGGAGCUCCUGCCUGCCUGGAUGAAGAGGAGGUCAAGACUUUGUCCCCCACUCCGCAAGAUACCCUCUCUGUUCCGGAGCGGUGGGUCCCUCCCCUGUUAGGACCUUGUCUCCCUCAGGACUGGACCUGGAUCCUGGGCCUGCAGUCAGAUUGCCAGUUUCACUUAGAGGUGGAAAUGUCAACCCACUGGUUGGAAUGGGAAGGUAGGGUGUGGGGUCGGGGAGUACCUUCAUUUCUAUCUGCCCAGGAGGCCAGCCGCUUCCUGCAUAGCAUUUCCUUCCUGCAGUAUGGGAAGGACCAGGCUUUCUCAGACCACAGAAUCUUGAGAGCCAUUUCCACGUGGAGCAAGUGGUGGCUACCAGCCUUGGGUCUACAUAACUAGGGCCUCAUCCCUGGCCCAAGAAUCCUGCUCCACAGCCUUCUUGUGUCCCUGUAGGAGGAGAAACACCUGGCAACUUAAAUUUUUUAAAAUAACUUUUUUUUUUUUUUGAGACGGAGUCUCGCUCUGUCUCCCAGGCUGGAGUGCAGUGGUGCGAUCUCGGCUCACUGCAAGCUCCGCCUCCCAGGUUCAUGCCAUUCUCCUGCCUCAGCCUCCCAAGUAGCUGGGACUACAGGCACCUGCCAUCACGCACGGCUAAUUUUUUUGUAUUUUUUUAGGUGAGACAGGAUUUCACCAUGUUAGCCAGGAUGGUCUUGAUCUCCUGACCUCAUGAUCUGCCCACCUCGGCCUCCCAAAGUGCUGGGCUUACAGGCGUGAGCCACCGUGCCCGGCCAAAAAUAACUUUUAAAAACAUGAGUAUAGCAUACACACACACAAAAGUCCACAAAUCCUAGGUGUACCACUUGAUGAAUGAUCCCAACGUGAGCACACCUCUGGAUUACCACCUGGAUCAAGAAAUAGGACAUCACAGCAGCUGGCAGCUUCCAAGGAGAAGCUCUGGAAAGUUCUGCCUGUCUCAGCACCUGGCUGGAUCGGAAACGAGUUUUCUUUAACCAGAUUUUUAAUGACUGACUUAUGUGGACAAAUCAUAACUGAAUGAAUCACCUCCUUUGUUGAUUUUUUUGGGUACUUUAUUUGCUAUUAUAAAUGAUGCUGUAAUAAGCACCCUUGAAGAAAUCUUCAUAUCUGCCUCUCCUGUGUAGCAGGUCACAGUGCCUGGGUUUGGUUCUAGCCCUCAUUUGUGAACUGUGUGACUCACCAUGCCUUUUUUCUUUCUGUAAGACAGGAAUAAUGGUAAGAAUUUAAAUGGGGGUAAUAUGGAGCGCGUUUAGUUCAGAGCCUGGUGCAUACAAGCACUCAAUAAGUACUGGCGAUUAUUAGACCUUUAGAUUAAUUUAUUAGAAGUUGGAUUUCUGGUGAAAGGGUUUGAGUGUUUUUGAGGCUUUGGCACAGAAUACCCAGCUGGUCCCAGAAAGGUGGUUCCCAUUUACCUGCCCGAAGGUAAUUCACCCUUACUGAUACUGAGUACUGUUUUCUAAAAGAACAUUAAAAAUUGGAUAGGUUAAAAACAGGUGAAUACAUUUUUUUAGUUGCAUUUUUUUGGUUACCCGUGAGAGUGAACAUGUUGCCAUGUGUUUGCUGACCUCCUAAAUGGUCUAUUUGCUCCUACCUUUGUACCCCAAAAGUCUGCUCUCAAGAUGGUAGCCAGAAUGAUCCUUUUUGAGACAUAAGUCAAAAUUUCACUCUUCUCCUUAAAGCUCUGCAAUGGUUCUCAGGUUAAAAGCCAAAGUCCUGUUCAAGGCCUCCAGGGUCCUCACCACUUGGUCCCUUGCUCUUUCUGUUCUAGCCAACUUGGCCUUCUCCUGCCCCUCCGCCGCACCAUGGCAAUUUCCCCUGCUCUGUGUGGUCAACUACCUGAAUCUGUUCAAAGCUUUGCUCAAAUGUCUCCUUCCUGAUGAGACCUCCCCAGCCCCUGAGCUCCCCAUGCCUCACUCCUGAUCGCCUUACUUAACCCUUCUUUUUCUUUUUUGCCAGUAGUACUUAUCACCGUCUAAAAUACUUCAUAAUUUACUUGUUUAUUGUUUGCCCCUCUCCAAUAGAAUGUAAGCUCCUUGGGGCAGGGACCUUUGUCCUUUGUCUUGUUCACUGCUGUGUCCCAUGUGUAAACUUGUCUGGCACAGAAGAGGUGCUCGAUAAAUAUUUGUUGAGUGAAUGAAUGGUAAAUUUUCUGUUCAUAUUCUUUGACUAUUUUCUAUUGUAAUGUUCAUCUUUUUAGUAUUGGUUUAUAAGAUGUAUAUUUAGCACCUUUUCAUAUAUCACUCUUUGUCACAUAUUAUGCAACUAAUUUGUCAUUUCCAUCAAUUUUUAAAAUACUUUCUUGAUGCUUCAUUUUUAAGCUGUCAGAUUAUUAAUCUUUUCUUUAUGGUCUUGGACUUUAUUGUUGCAUAACCGCUGCCUUCACCAGGAACAUAUAAAUUUUCAAUUAAAUGUUCUUCUGAGAUUUUAUGAUUUCACUUUUUAUAUUAAACUCUUCAUUUUGUCUUCAUGUGUGGUGAGAGGUAAGAACAUAACUUUAAAGCAAAUUAACCAACUAUCCCCAAAUGAAUUAUAAAUAAAUUAAUCAUUUUCCAAUGAUCUGAAAGGCCAUUUUAUCAUACACUAAAUAUUUUUGUGUGUUUGACUGGGUUUACCGUUCUGUUCCGUUGGCCUAUCACAUCGUUCUUACAUUGGUAUUUGUUGCCCUAUUUUAAUGAUUGUAACUUUUUAAUAAGGGUUAAUGACUGAGAAUACAAGUCCCAUUGUUUUGUUUUAUUAUUUUUAUUAUUUUUUUGAGACAGGGUUUCACUCUGUCACCCAGGCUGGAGUAUAGUAGCACUAUCUCGGCUCAUUGCAACCUCUGCCUCCCUGGUUCAAGUGAUUCUCCCACCUCAACCUCCCGAGUAGCUGGGACUACAGAUGCAUGCCACCACACCCAGCUAAUUCUUGUAUUUUUAGUAGAGACAGGGUUUCACCAUGUUGACCAGGCUGGUCUUGAACUCCUGGCUUCAAGUGAUUCACCUGCCUCGACCUCCCAAAGUGCUGGGAUUACAGGCGUGACUCACCACGCCUGGCCCAUUUUUUUCUUUUGAGGUGUUCUUUGUGGCAAUUCAUAUAUUCUUUAAGAUAAAUUCUAAACUUUUUUUUUCUGCCGAGAUAAACUAGCAGACAAAUCCCACUGGACAUUGCAAUUGGAUUAGUUUUGUAGAUUAAUUUAGUGAUAAUCAACUUCUUUGCACCAUUGAGUGCUUCUGUCCGGGAACGUGGCAUAUCUUUCUAUUAUUAAGGUCUUUUUUAUUAUAGGUCUUUAGGGAAGCUUUAUUUUAUAGAUGAAUGUAGUGUGUUUGGUGCUUAUUUUCAUAAAAUAAAGCAAUGACAUCUGUGGCAGGCAGCUUCUGAAAUGGCUCCCAAUGAUCCUUACCUUCUGAUAGUCACCCCCUUGGAGAAUCCCUUUCCUUUGUGUGUGGGCUGGAUCUAGUGACUUGCUUCUCAUAAAUAGAAUAUGGCAAAAAAUGAUGGGUUGUUACUUCUGAGAUUAGGUUAUAAGAGGCGAAUUUCUGUUUUGCUGUAAUUUUGUCUCUCUAACCCUCUUGCUUUCCUGUGCUCAUGAAACCAGCUGCUGUGUUGUGAGCCACCUUAUGGAAAACCCAUGUGGCAGAGAACCGAGGGUGGUGGCUGGCCAACAGCAAGCCAGGAGCUGAGGCCCACAGUCCAACAACUGAGACUGGGUCCCACCAUAUUGCCUGGGCUGGCCUCGGACUCUUGACCCCAAGUGAUCCUCUGGCCUCAGCCUCCCAAGCAGCUGGAUUUACAGGCAGGCACCACCGCACCGAGCUAAAAACGCCUGGCUUCCCUGGGCCUGCUGCACCUGCUCUGGCUAGGUUGGAGAGGGCUGCAGGGAGGACCGCAGUCAGCAGAGGGCGCCAAAGCCUCUCAACACAAGCAUGGCCCAGGCCUGGCCCAGAAGGAGAGCGCUGAGAGCCAGGACUGGCGGGCUACGUGCGCCCUGUGGAUUCCCCCAUUUCCCAUGCUUCAUCCAGCCAUGGGCCUGCAGUGCACUCACAAAUGUGCAUAUACCCUCCUGUGUGUGUGUUACACUCAUCAAAUUGUCUCUGAAUUUGCUUGGCUUCAUGUGUUCCUGUGUGUGUUUAUGUGUGUGUGUGGUGUGUCUGGUGUAUCUGGUUCCCCAGGAAGCACAUUUGACAGCCCCACAGUCAGGGUCAGGGCACAGGGACAGAUACUGUGUCUAUAACAAUCCAUAACACUGAUUUUGUUCAUCUCAAUAAAUGUGAGAAUGAAAUAAAAAUUAAUGUAGAAUAUUUUGUACAUCUCAAUAAAGCCACUUUCUGGGGGCAGGCAUUAUAAUUCUAGCCUCUGUUCUACUGUUUGAUAGGUAAAGAAUAACUUUCCACAUAGGGAGAGGAAUGGACAGCUACCCAGCCCUCCCACUGUUACAGGCCUGGGCUAGAAGCUUUCCAUCUAGGCUCCUGGUUG
rnacentral:lncRNA from 10 species